rnacentral:lncRNA from 1 species
GAUUGGAUUCUGGUCUCAAGAAGAUGCGGCUUUCAGAUUCUUCUUCGCGGCUCCAAGUGACCGUCCAUCCAGUGCUGUUGAGGGACACGAACAAUGUUUAUCAGAACAAUGUUUAUCAUUUGCAAAACAAGGCUGAGAUGGACGGUAAUUUGCCUGAACACACAUCAAAUAAAACAGUUAAGCCUUUGCGUGGUGCCUGUCCCCUUGCUGCAGAACUUAAGAGAGAGAAGAUCGACAAUGUUGAGUUGCGGGUUGUUACUGACUCCCAGCGCAAACAAUUUGAUGAUCUGGUGAGGCAGUUAAAGGAAUCAGACAAAGCUAUGCUGCCAUCUAAUUCCUCUACACAGUGAUGAACCUGUCUAUAUCAUCAUGGCAGUGCUAGUUCAGCAAAGCAAACUGCCACGGAGAUGAUUCAGCAUGGGCUAUCAAAUCAGAGACAGAAGAAACGAUGAACUGCGGUUGUAUUGUAUGGUCUGUAAUAUACCUCUUGGCACAAGAUCUCUCUCCUCAGUUUAUUGUCUACCAUAGUUUUCUGUUGUUACAAAGUCCACCAUGUUGUUACCGAGGAUCAGAUGUCAAAAAAACUGUUUGUUUUUUCUGCAGAGAUGUACUUACAGUAGUUUCAGUAUCUGCGCAUAUGAAGUUUGCAGUUGCUCUGUCAGUCAGUCAGCACCAGCACAGGAAUGCUGAUAAAUGUAAACUAUAUGCAGUUUACAUGUACUGUACCGCAACAACACAAGAAUGUCAAUUAAUUCCUCGACAUGCCUACCAACUAAACUGCAAAGAAAAUCCUUACCAGUUUGGGACUUGUCAAUUUGGCAACAUGCAAAUUCAUGCGAGGAAUGGGUUGUGUUCAGGCCAGACUAAAAGUAUGCGGACAACCCAGGAACCAAGGUGGAGAGCUUGCAAUUGCAACAUAAUCUUUGUUUCCAUGUUCAAUCUACCAGUUGCAUCUGUAUAUUCACAUAAUGCAUAGAACAAAAUCAGGUCUAAAGCAAGCGCAACGCCAGCCAUUCUUCGCAAGCUAACAAACAGCUGGAAGUGCUAUACAUGGCGCCAACACACAGCCGUCAGAACUGCAUGGCCUCACAACGGAGCUCAGAAAUGCCUUCACAACUUCUGCCGAGGCAUCACUCCUGAGCAAGCAGAAGGCGUAUUUCAUGACCGCGGCAUCACAGGGCGGCGUGAUCCUGCUGUCCACGAACCCAAACUCCUCCAGGGACAUUGUCAGGAGCUCGCUGAAGAGUGCUGUGCUGAGGUAUGGCAGCGGCACCUCGAACUUCCCCCCGCCAGCCGUGUACACGAUGCAGUGGCCCUUCACCGCCACUGAUGAUGUCAGGCAGCACUCAUUGGCUGCUCUCGUCGUUGUCCUUGUGAGCCUCUUCGUCCUGAGGACCGCCAUUCUCUGCCAACUUUUUUCCAUCUGAGCAAGCCUCUUGGCACUGACCAUGGUUGCUUCUUUCUUUCUUGGCUCAAGGUUCAGAAGAGCUUUUGUCUCAGGUGGUAUUCAGGUAGUUGUUGUAGUGCUUGGCUUGUGGAUGAACUUACGAUUAGAUGGUGCUAAGCGGAUAGAUUUAUAGUUGGGGGAGAGAAGCAUAUAGUUUAGGUGCAGCUAUCAUUACAAGUUGGCAAGGGACAGAACGAUGAGGUCAGAACAUGCAAUGCUGCGAUGGUUGUGCAAUGGCAGGAUAGCACUGUGAUCUUUAUUAGAUUUCUCUGGGGCCGACCCCUUUGCUACUUGCAUUGUCUUGGGUGUGCUUGGACAUCACAAUUUGCUUCCAUACUGACCUGUUUUAGUGGCAAGGAUAAGAGGACUACGUGUAAAUUGGGUCCAUUUCUGUUUGUUAUUGAUAAGAUCAGUAUAUCAAGUGGCCCCUGAGAUGGAGAUAUCUUAGUCUGACAGUUGUUCAUAACUUCAUGUUCAUCACAAUUUGUUGCUGAGCAACCGGACUAAAUCUCUUUUGUAGCUUUUGUAAUCUGUUAGCUGUAGUGUUUCGGACUUGUAGUUUCGGUCUUCUUUACUUUCAGAUACACUUGAAACAGACUUUGUGCUCUAUGCUUUAAUAUAUGGAGUGCGACCGCUUUUUUCUUGGGCAGAUGGGAAAAAAAUUCAUGGUGCUUGAUUAGUGGAAUAUUGCCUGAACUGAUUAUUUAUCACUGAUUCAUUUUGUUUCCUGAUUUAUAGUUUCCUAUGUGGACCUGCAAGAUUGCUACCAGGUGAUAUCUCUUCUUGAAAUUAUUACUGCAGGGAGCGGUAACUUAUCAAAUUCUAUGGGUAAUGCUAUUCACAGCCCAUUUGAAAUUUCAAAUGAACUUUGACAAAAAUGGUUGAAUUUGCCUGAAUUGUGUCCAAAACUUUUUUUCCGUUCAGUAUGGAGCCUUCUGGGAUGGUAGCAGUAACUCCAGUUACUGGAAAAUCCUGGACGGUAACCAGAGGUCUAGAACCCUUGUUUUCAUGAGCUCAUGAGUCCCAAGUCUUAGAUCUGUCAAACGGAAUUGCAAUAUGUUUCUUCCAUUUCCCAUGUAACAUAUAAAAUCAUGUACAUCAUCCUAAACAAAAGCUUAUAAGGCUAAUCAAUUUCACUCUUUGGAUCUUCAGAAACUUGAAACAGCUACUGAUCUAAGUCCCAAGGAGUACUGCUCCAAGCCAUCAUCGCAGCGGCAAGAAGGCCUGGCCACGGAGCUGAGGAAAGCCUCCACCUCCUCCGGCGCGUCCCUUCUGAGCAGGCACAGGACGUAUUCCAUCACCGCCACAUCGCACGGCAGCGUGAUCCGGCCAUCACUCGCGAAGCCGAACUCGUCAUGGGACAUCCUCAGGAGCUCGCCGACGACCACCGUGCUGAGGUACAGCAGCGGCACCUCAAACCGCGCCCCGUCGGCGGUGUACAUCACGCAGUGCCCCUUCACCGCCACCGACGAUGAAGACGAUGUCUCGCAGCACUCAUCGGUCGUCGUCGUUCGUCUGAGUCUCUUCCUCCCAAGUGCUGCCAUCUUCUGCCACUUCUUUGCCAUCUGAGCAAGCCUCUUGGCACUCACCAUCGUUGCUUCUUGCAGAAAGUUCAGAGGUAAGUGUUUUGGUGUCAGGUAUUCAGCUGGCAAACUUGUGGUAGUGCUCUGCUUGUGGAUGGGAAUGGUGGUUAAGACUUAAGAGCUGGUGGAUUUAUAGGCAAGGGAAGGAGAAGAGAAUGGUACAUGCAACAAGAAGUUUUAGGUUCAGCUAUGGAUCGAUGACAAGUUGGACAGAGCCACGAGCCCAGAACAUGCAAUGCUAACUGCAAUGCAAGUGUCAGGCCAAGAUGUAUAGCGAUGUGAUCUUGAUUUGAUACCUCUGGGGCCAAUAUAUGUUUUUGGAUCAUGUCGGAGACAAUCAUACAUCACAUAGCAGUUUGUCUGGUUGGAGAGCCACAGCGUGCUGCCAUACUGACCUCCUUAAUGGCUGAUUAAGAGGCACGCGUGCUUCUUGAGAAGUAUACAUGUGUUGAGAUACAAUUAAACGAUUUGGUUGCUUGCUAAUGGAACUGGAGAUCAUAUCAUGAUUAUCAUCACAUAAAUUGUGCCUGAUUAGCAUGUGCCCCACAUGCCGGUUCCCCACUGAAGUGGUCAGUAUGGCAAUGUCUGCACUGUUAAUAUGCAAGCAAAGCACCGGAAGCAGACCCCCAAAAGCACUAGAUCCGGCAAUUGGUCCCAUUGAAAACCUGGUCAGAAAAUGCGCACGCAGCAUGCAUGCAUCCAUAGGCUUGCCGCUUUCAGCGGCAGCAGCACUCCACACUAGUGCUCAUGGCUUGUCCAUCCCUUCCCAGCUUGCCACACUGACAAGUGCAUGCACCAUCGCUUCGUCAUUUCAGUACCAAAAAACUAAGCCAGGCAGAUUGUAUGACUCUAAAGCAGUCAAAGCUCAAUGUAAGAAAGCCCAGGUACCAACAAAAUAUGUUUACCAGAAUGUAUGCAAGUUCAUAAUCAAAAGGAAUGCAGAAAGCUGGACAACUCAAUACUGAACUUUUAUGUCCACAAGGAAUUACUACAUGUAGCCCAGCAUUGUUUCAGAGCGCAGCGCUUCCCAUUGCCCAUUUGCCCUUGAAAAAACUCUUAUGUUUGGCUAAGUUGCUAUGUCUAAAAGACCAAGCUAUAACUUUGAAUUUUACGCACAAAAAAAAGCUAUAACUUUGAACAUCAUACUGCAGAUAUACAAUACAUGCACUGGAAACAAAACGCAUCAAAGACACCUGCUUCCGCUUGGAAAUGUGACAAACCACAUCCAGAGGAAAUAAAGGUUUUUCUGCAAUCAUUUUUGUUCUAGUCCUGUACUCCUUUACCUAAAAGAAAGAAAGAAAAAAUGCAACAAGGAGCAGUCGUCAUAUGGGACACCGGAAAUCAAACAGAUCAUGUGCUGGACCAGUACAAAGCUUUCAACUGAAUGUUCAGAAAGAAUAGAUUGAGGAGCAUGCAUGAACUGGCAGAACAGAUAUCUCCAUCUCAGGGGCCACUCUAUAUGCUUCUUAUCAUUAGGAUAUAAAUCAAGCAGGUACCCGAAUAAUCAAUUGGUUUUCGUCUAAAAUGAAUAAUGAAUUGCUAUCUCAUUGUGCAAUCAAAGAGAAAUGGACCCAAUUUACAGGUGGUCCUCUUAGUCAUCAGCCACUAACUGAAACAUGUCAGCAUGGCAGCAAACUGUGAUGUCUAAGCACCCUACACUGAUAUUACAAUCCCCAGCAAGUAGAGCAGAGAGAUGGCCCCAGAGGAAUCAAAUCAAGAUCACAAUCGCAUAUAUCUUGGCUUUACACUUGCAGUUAGCAUUGCAUGUUCUGAGCUCAUGGUUCUGUCCCUUGCCAACUUGUCAUAAUAGCUGCACCUGAACUAAACUGCAUGAUGCUACUCUUCUCUUCUCCCUCGUCUAUAAAUUCAUCUGCUUAGUAGUUAGCACCACCAUCUCAUCAUCAGUUCACCCACAAGCCAAGCACUACAACACCUAGCUGAAUAUACAACCUGACACAAAAGUUUCUCUGAACUUUCAGCCAAGAAAUUCAGAAGGAGAAGCAACCAUGGUUAGUGCGAAGAGGCUUGCUCAAAUGGCAAAGAAGUGGCAGAGAAUGGCAGCCAUGGGGAGGAAGAGGCUCAAGCGGACGACAUCGACAAGAGCAGCCGACGAGUGCUGCACGACGUCAUCGGUGGCGGUAAAGGGCCACUGCGUCGUGUACACCGCCGACAGGGGUCGGUUUGAGGUGCCGUUACAGUACCUCGGCACGGCCGUCUUUAGUGAGCUCCUGAGGAUGUCUCAGGAGGAAUUUGGUUUCGCAGGCGGCGAUGAUGGCCGGAUCACGCUGCCCUGCGACGCCGCUGUCAUGGAGUACGCCAUGUGCUUGCUCGGGAAAGAUGCCUCCGCGGAAGUCGUGAAGGCCUUCCUGAGCUCCGUCGCGACGCCCUGCUGGUUUGACGGCGGUGUGGUGGCGCCAUGCGUAGGGUUUAACCAGCAUGUAGCCGUUUGCUAGCUUCAGAAGAAUGGCAGCUGCUACUGCUAGGAUCCUUGUUGUAGCCACCGUUUUGGUUCGACGCAAAGUGUAAAUAUGAAGUACUAGUUGGUUAGAAAUGGAACAGUUUUUUAACCGUUGAGGUAUAAAUGAAGGAACCUUCUUUCUCUGUCAGCUUAGCCUUUAUUGGGUGAAUUGGUUCAACCUCAAGGAAAACCACAUGAUCUGGCACCUUCCGCUACAUCGACACGAAGUACCAUAAACGGGGAUGCUCGGCAUGUCAUGCUGCUUCUCAUCACGACCAAGCCACCAAUCACCAAUGGCGCCGUCUUGUCUCCGGAUAGGACUUGCUUAGAGAUUUUUUUUUCCUUAUUUUUAUGUAAUAAAGUGGCACAUUUGGUACUUUGUGACUGUGUGAGUCCCGUGCGCACAAGUGGGGGGUUGAUGCCCUGUUGGUUAACUCGGUUGUAUCGCUUGAUAUAUAAUGUUGAGAUCAAUCUAUAAUCUUCUAUUUUCGAAAAAAUAAAUGAAAUGAGCAGCUCUAUUGGACCAAAUUUCUCGGUUAGAACCUGAGAUGCAGCGUAUUUUGUUUGUGAACAUAAGGCUAACAAUUUUUAACGAUAUGCAAAUUGUUCUAACCGUUCUUGCAAAUUCAAGCCUUUUUUUUCAUAUGGUCAGAAGACCGUAUUCUACUACUGUCAUGAAGAUAACGGAACAAAGUACUGAACCCAAGUUUCAACCCCGCACGGAAGUUUUUCACAUACCUGCCGCAUAUCGCUAACAAGAACACAAGCCAACUACCAAAAUAUUGUACUUCCUCCGUCCAACAAAGAUGUCUCAAUUUUGACUAAAUUUGAAUGCAUCUAUACACUAAGUCAUGUCUAGAUACAUUCAAAUUUUGACAAACUUGAGACAUUUUUUGUUGGACGGAAGCAGUACAUGUAAUGGAACUGGAGAUGCCCGAUUAACAUAUGGCCCACAUGCUGAUUCAGAGGGGAACUUGCCAGUAUGUCAAUGCAUGCACCCUUGGAUGUGAAACCAAUGAAGUAAGCAAAGCACUGGAACCUAGCAACUACUAGAUCAGGCAAUUAGCCCCAUCAAAAACAUGGUCAGAGGUUUCUCAAAAAAAAAAAAACAUGGUCAGAGAAAGUUUAAGCAUUGCAUUUGCACCUGCUCAUGGAUUUGCCCCUUCCUUCCCAGCUUGCCGCACUGACAAGUGCAUGCACUUCACCCAGCCUUUCCCCCAUCUUGCUUUUCCAUCGCCUAUAAAUUAAGGCACUGAAACAGAUCAAUUGCACUAUGACCAUCACUACCAAAAAACCAAUCAUCACUUUCUAAUUAUGCCAAGCAGAUUUGUAUGUUUCCAAACUGAAAGAACUCAAUGCGAGAUUAAAGGACAUGCAUGUACCAAAAUAUGAUCUCUAAAUAUAUGCAGGUUCAGAACUAAAAGUGCUGCGGAAAGCUGGACAACUCAAUGCUGAACAUGUAUGUCCAGAAGGAAUUAAUACAUGUGGCCUAGCAUUCUUAGAGAGUUUUCCAUUCUUGAGUUAUUCUUAUGUUUGCAUAAAUAGAUAUUUCUAAGAAACCAUACUAUAACUGGAAACAUCGCAUUUCAAAUAUAAUACAUGCAUGUAUUGAAACCAAACAGUCAACAGAAAGCCCAUCAGAGACAUCUGUUUCAGCUUGGCAACGUGAUAAAACCACUUUCAGAUGAAACAAACGUCGCUUUGCAAUCACUUUGGUGCUUACUCCUGUACCCAAAAUAAAUAAAAUGCAAGGAGCAAGCCCAUGUGAUAUGCCGGAAAUCAAGCAGGUCUAGUUUCAUCUGAAAGUGUACAGAGAAUAGAUAUAUUAGGGGCAUGAACAAUGCAUAUCACAAUGUGAGGAAUCCAUCAGGAGAAGCAAAUAGGUAGCGUAACUGAUCAGUGCUCACCGAAAUUGUUCAGUCCCUGAACCUGGAUGCCAUCGCUGUCUCCUUGCAAUUGCCGAUAGCCAUGAUCUCGGCACGCCUCUUGUUCUCAACGCGUUCAGUAUGGCAGCCACACAUGAUAAGAA